rnacentral:tRNA from 1 species
GGGGUUGUGGCUCAGCGGUAGAGCACUCACCUAGCAUGUGUGAGGCCCUGGGUUCAAUCCUUAGCACCACA